CUUAGCUGUCAAGAGUUCCGCCAUAGGCGGACGACAACCGAGCCAAUUCAGGCCGCGGUGCCAAAAUGACAAGCCUCUGUUAUCAAUUAGAGGAAAAUAAAAUGAAAUA
rnacentral:ncRNA from 24 species